UGCAACGAUUUAGUCAUACAGUCUACGGGAGUCGAAAUUCGGAAUCUCUUGUCUUAUUUGUGCACAUGACUUGUGAGGAAGAAACUUCACUUUGGUAUCAUUUCUUACAGGAAUAUUGAAAAUAAUUUCUUUCGAAAAAAAAAAAAAAAGGAAAGGACUUCUGUAAGUAACCGUGUGACUCGAUGCGCUGCUCAGUCUCAACUGCUGGAGCGUGCCUCCGUGGGACAGUACUGUAACACGCGGCGCUCUCCUAACAGGCUAAUUUAUCACAUCCUUUUCUCACUCCUCCUUCUCGGAGGGUUUGCUGGCCCAUUCUGGGAUAGGCCGGCGCUGUCUGCGCUCAGGGUGACGGGCACGCUGCGAGAUCCUGUCAUCGUGUUUAGGCUGAUGCUUGAAAGGGCACUAUUUUCGUGGACUGGUUAAAUCAGGGGCGGCCUGAGCCACCGGAGGUGUGUCUACAGCCGACUUCGUUCACUGCCAAUCAAAGCAGCUCCUCUCAUUCCCUUUUAAUGUGACACAACGGAAAGGUCGCACGGAGACAUCUCUGUGCGGAAGGGGACGCAGCGAUCUGAGCUUGGCUGGAGCGUUGCCGUCGCUCUUGGCCGGUGGUGAACGUCCCGGUAUCCGUAGGUCACCACUGACACGAACAACUGGAGCCACUGCGGAUUAAAACAUGAACUCAAAUGCAAUUGCAGUUGAGACACUAAAGAAUGUUACAAGUGUUGCUGUUAUACAAUGUGUGGGCAGGAUUAUCUGGACCCAGAGAUGAACAAAUGUGAGGUCUAGUGGCCUAUGAGGGCCCACUUGUUCCUUCGCCUGCAAAUUGUCGCAGCAUGCCAUUUUAUGCUUCCGACCUUGUGGGGACGGUGAGGGAAGCUCGGGACCUCAGCUCUCACCCGACACCGUGACUGCUCACCUCACAAAUGUUCUUCUGGAUGAAUGGACCAAAAUUCCCACAGACCAAAGUCUUAUGAAAGUCUAACCGGAAGAUCAGAAGAUGGCGCUGGAAUUAAAUCAGUCACAGAUACUUCCAUUUUCACAUCAUAGAGGUGUCCCAAUACCUUUGUCCAUAUCCUGUUUUUCCCUUCCAGACAAUCUUUCUUUUUUUGUCUUUUUUUUUCCCAAGUUCUUAUUUUCUUGAUUUAAAUGUACAUCUUGGGAUUCAAGGCGCUAUUCAUUGUGUGUCACACCCUGUUUGAUUGUUAUUUCCACCUGCCACGUUGCUGUCAGCCCCGCCCUGAAACGCUGUAUCCAUCAAUCGAUGCCACCAUUUUAAUUUUGAAGUGCCCAAAACCAACAACACAUGCAUAGGGCCUUACAGAAACAUUAUUUGCUUUAGCCACUAAAAUGACUGAAUGAAGAAGCUGUUUGCUGACCAGAUUUAUUGAUAACGUGUCUGUGUUCGUGCGUGCGCGCCUGCGUUUGUGUGUGUGUGUGUGUGUGUGUGUGUAUGAGUGAGAGAGAGAGAGAGGAGAGAGAAAGAGUUGCAUGUUUUACAGUUUUUGUGUCCAUAAAAUAGUGUUAAUGUUGCCAUAUGCACAGCCAAAACAACAGCAAAAACAUCUUCAACUUACC